rnacentral:rRNA from 1 species
GACGAACGCUGGCGGCGUGCUUAACACAUGCAAGUCGAACGAAGUGGCGAACGGGUGAGUAACGCGUAAUCAACCUGCCCUUCAGAGGGGGACAACAGUUGGAAACGACUGCUAAUACCGCAUACUGAAGGAGGGGAUUGCGUCUGAUUAGCUAGUUGGAGGGGUAACGGCCCACCAAGGCGAUGAUCAGUAGCCGGUCGUAGAGGAGGAACGGCCAAAUUGGGACUGAGAAACGGCCCAUAAGCCUACGGGAGGCAGCAGGGGGGAAUCUUCCGCAAUGGAGGAAAGUCUGACGGAGCAACGCCGCGUGAGUGAUGACGGCCUUCGGGUUGUAAAGCGCUGUUAAUCGGGACGCGGUACCGGAAUAGAAAGCCACGGCUAACUACGUGCCAGCCGCCGCGGUAAUAC